rnacentral:lncRNA from 1 species
AACUUUGUUUCUCUGGUGCUAUUCCACUGGGGGAAAAGAGGUGGGGAGAGGUUUGCUGGUUAGAGUUCUAAAACUAAUGGCAAAAACAUUUUGCCAAUUAACUUUGCACCAACCCGAUAUAUCUGUAGACUUUUAAGUCUUAGCAUUCAGCAGUAAACUGAGUCCAUUUUUAAAAAUAUAAUACCUUUUGUUUACCUAGGAGCUGGUGUAGUGAAGGAUGAAGAGAAGGCAAUGCAAUGGUUUAGACCUUAUUCUCCAGAGAAGAGGCACCGUUAAGGGUUCAAAGGCUCUCUCUGACUUCUCCUGCAUCUUUUCCUUCACCGGAAUUUCCAUCAAUAAAUCUCUUGCACCUCUAGUCUUGUUUUGGCAUCUGCUUCUCAGAAAUCCAAAUUGACACAUGGUAAAUGGCUAAGUAUUAUCAGCAGGUAUCGAGAGGAAUUAUAAAGCAAUCCAUACUGAAGACCUGAGGGGGACUAUGCGGGUGAGGUAAAAGAACACCAAAUGAUCAAAGAUCAACUUUCCUAUCAGCAUGGAUAUUUUGUCUCUAGAUAGUGUAAGGACAAAAAUGAGCUAAGGAACAAGAUACUGGUGGCUGGUCUUUGGGAGUAGUAUUGGACCAAAAUCUGGUGGAGACCAAGCAUAAAUUUAUGAGGGGCUGAAUGGAAAUACAAGCAUUAAAUAAUAACAGUUGGAAAUGCAAUAUGUAUAAAAUAUUUCAGUGAUAAAUUGCCAAAUGAGUGUUAUGGUCAAUAAAGUUCAGAGAGUGAGAGACCACAUGGAAGUUUAGAAGGUUUUAGAAACAUUUUUAGGAUAGACAUUUUUCCUAAACACUGGGUAUCAUAACUGGAUAUGGUCUGGUUACUUUUACCACUGAAGAAGUGAAAACAGAGGUGGUUGACAUAGAGGAGUCACUUGAAUGUUAGGGAAGGUAGUCACCGUGCAAUAUUUUGAAGACAUGUUUCUUGAGUGGAGUCUUAAGACCACUGAGGAAUCGUAACUUAUUUAUAAAAUUUAAAAACACUAUGUUUUCAUUUUGAUGUCAAUCUUAAAAAGUAUUAUUAACGUAUUUGGGAUCUCGGCAUCACCUUCUGAGAACCACCUCUUGAUUUCUUGGCCUCCUUUUGUAUUUGUGUUAAUAACUAUGUUGGCACAAAACAGUACAGCUCGAGUCAUAACAGUCUGAUGAGAAAAAACAGAAGCAGACUACGUAUGUAAAUGAACCAUUCCUGUGACAUGCUCUUAUGUGCUCAAAGAUAGAUAGGAGGCUGAGCGUGGUGGCUCGCACCUGUAAUCUCAGCACUUUGGGAGGCUGAGGUGAGCAGAUCACUUGAAUUCAGGAGUUAGAGACCAUUUUGGGCAACAUGGCAAAACCCUAUUUCUAUAAACAAUACAAAAAUCAGGCUUGCUGGUGUGUGCCUGGGGAUGUUGAGGCAGCAGUGAGCUGUGAUGGCGCCACUGCACUCCUGGAAGCAGAGUGAGAUUUUGUCUUAAAAAAAAAAAAAAAAAAAAAGACAGGAUUCCUUGGGGUUGGGUCUUUUGAUAUUUUCAUCAAUAUGAACUGCUGAUAUGAUGGUUUCUCUAAUUAUGGGCCAGUUAAAUUAAGCACAUGGAAAUCUCUUGAGGACGGACAUUAAAUUGGGAGCUACCAUCCAUUCUCAUUUUGAGAAAUAAAAUAUUUAAAAUAUGCUCUCAAGUAAGAAGCACCAAUUUCAGUCCAAAGUCUAAGCUGCCAUUAUUUUCUAGAAUAGGAAAAUUAGCAUUUGAUUUAUCUCUUGCUUUGUCUGGGAGACUUACUGGAAUAAUAAGAGAGAGAGUGUCAUCUUCAGUAAACUCAAGAUUCAUAAAUUCUUCCAAUUCUUCCCUUGUAUUAGC